CCUACGGGAGGCAGCAGUGAGGAAUAUUGGUCAAUGGACGAGAGUCUGAACCAGCCAAGUAGCGUGAAGGAUGACUGCCCUCUGGUUUGUAAGCUUUUUUUAUAUGGGAAUAAAAUGUUCCACGUGUGGGAUUUUGUAUGUACCAUUUCAAUAAGGAACGGCUAACUCGGUGCCAGAAGCCGCGGUAAUACGGAUGUACCGAGCGUUAUCCGGAUUUAUUGGGUUUAAAGGGAGCGUAGGUGGAUUUUUAAGUAAGUUGUGAAAGAUUUCGGCUCAACCGUAAAAUUGCAGUUGAAACUGGCAGUCUUGAGUACAGUAGAGGUGGAUGGAAUUCGUAGUGUAGCGGUGAAAUGCUUAGAUAGCACGAAGAACUCCGAUUGCGAAGGCAGUUCACUGGACUGCAACUGACACUGAGGCUCGAAAGUGUGGGUAUCAAACAGGAUUAGAUACCCUGGUAGUC
rnacentral:rRNA from 1 species